AUGCUGUGAGCUCGAUGAGUAGGGCGGGACACGUGGUAUCCUGUCUGAAUAUGGGGGGACCAUCCUCCAAGGCUAAAUACUCCUGACUGACCGAUAGUGAACCAGUACCGUGAGGGAAAGGCGAAAAGAACCCCGGCGAGGGGAGUGAAAAAGAACCUGAAACCGUGUACGUACAAGCAGUGGGAGCACCCUUUGGGGUGUGACUGCGUACCUUUUGUAUAAUGGGUCAGCGACUUAUAUUCUGUAGCAAGGUUAACCGAAUAGGGGAGCCGGAGGGAAACCGAGUCUUAAUUGGGCGUUAAGUUGCAGGGUAUAGACCCGAAACCCGGUGAUCUAGCCAUGGGCAGGUUGAAGGUUGGGUAACACUAACUGGAGGACCGAACCGACUAAUGUUGAAAAAUUAGCGGAUGACCUGUGGCUGGGGGUGAAAGGCCAAUCAAACCGGGAGAUAGCUGGUUCUCCCCGAAAGCUAUUUAGGUAGCGCCUCGUGAAUUCAUCUCCGGGGGUAGAGCACUGUUUCGGCUAGGGGGCCAUCCCGGCUUACCAACCCGAUGCAAACUGCGAAUACCGGAGAAUGUUAUCACGGGAGACACACGGCGGGUGCUAACGUCCGUCGUGAAGAGGGAAACAACCCAGACCGCCAGCUAAGGUCCCAAAGUCAUGGUUAAGUGGGAAACGAUGUGGGAAGGCCCAGACAGCCAGGAUGUUGGCUUAGAAGCAGCCAUCAUUUAAAGAAAGCGUAAUAGCUCACUGGUCGAGUCGGCCUGCGCGGAAGAUGUAACGGGGCUAAACCAUGCACCGAAGCUGCGGCAGCGACACUCAGGUGUUGUUGGGUAGGGGAGCGUUCUGUAAGCCUGCGAAGGUGGCCUGUGAGGGUUGCUGGAGGUAUCAGAAGUGCGAAUGCUGACAUAAGUAACGAUAAAGCGGGUGAAAAGCCCGCUCGCCGGAAGACCAAGGGUUCCUGUCCAACGUUAAUCGGGGCAGGGUGAGUCGACCCCUAAGGCGAGGCCGAAAGGCGUAGUCGAUGGGAAACGGGUUAAUAUUCCCGUACUUGGUGUUACUGCGAAGGGGGGACGGAGAAGGCUAUGUUGGCCGGGCGACGGUUGUCCCGGUUUAAGCGUGUAGGUGUGUGUUCCAGGUAAAUCCGGUUCACUUUAAC
rnacentral:rRNA from 1 species